rnacentral:rRNA from 1 species
GGAUAAUCUACCCUUAGGACCGGGAUAACCCUGGGAAACUGGGGCUAAUACUGGAUAGGCAAUUUUUCCUGCAAUGGUUUUUUGUUUAAAUGUUUUUUCGCCUAAGGAUGAGUCUGCGGCCGAUUAGGUAGUUGGUUAGGUAAUGGCUUACCAAGCCGUUGAUCGGUACGGGUUGUGAGAGCAAGAGCCCGGAGAUGGAACCUGAGACAAGGUUCCAGGCCCUACGGGGUGCAGCAGGCGCGAAACCUCCGCAAUGUGAGAAAUCGCGACGGGGGGAUCCCAAGUGCCAUUCUUAACGGGAUGGCUUUUCAUUAGUGUAAAGAGCUUUUGGAAUAAGAGCUGGGCAAGACCGGUGCCAGCCGCCGCGGUAACACCGGCAGCUCUAGUGGUAACAAUUUUUAUUGGGCCUAAAGCGUCCGUAGCCGGUUUAAUAAGUCUCUGGUGAAAUCCUGUAGCUUAACUGUGGGAAUUGCUGGAGAUACUAUUAGACUUGAGACCGGGAGAGGUUAGAGGUACUCCCAGGGUAGAGGUGAAAUUCUGUAAUCCUGGGAGGACCGCCUGUUGCGAAGGCGUCUAACUGGAACGGUUCUGACGGUGAGGGACGAAAGUUAGGGGCGCGAACCGGAUUAGAUACCCGGGUAGUCCUAACUGUAAACGAUGCGGACUUGGUGUUGGGGUGGCUUUGAGCUGCUCCAGUGCCGAAAGGGAAGCUGUUAAGUCCGCCGCCUGGGAAGUACGGUCGCAAGACUGAAACUUAA